rnacentral:rRNA from 3 species
CGGCGGAACACGUGAAAUUCCGUCGGAAUCCGGGAGGACCAUCUCCCAAGGCUAAAUACUCCCUAGUGACCGAUAGUGAACCAGUACCGUGAGGGAAAGGUGAAAAGCACCCCGGAAGGGGAGUGAAACAGUUCCUGAAACCGUGUGCCUACAAGUAGUUAGAGCCCGUUAAUGGGUGAUAGCGUGCCUUUUGUAGAAUGAACCGGCGAGUUACGAUUUGUUGCAAGGUUAAGCGGAAAAAGCGGAGCCGUAGCGAAAGCGAGUCUGAAUAGGGCGCAUAAGUAACAGGUCGUAGACCCGAAACCAGGUGAUCUACCCAUGUCCAGGAUGAAGGUAAGGUAAUACUUACUGGAGGUCCGAACCCACGCACGUUGAAAAGUGCGGGGAUGAGGUGUGGGUAGCGGAGAAAUUCCAAUCGAACUUGGAGAUAGCUGGUUCUCUCCGAAAUAGCUUUAGGGCUAGCCUCGAGGUAAAGAGUCAUGGAGGUAGAGCACUGUUUGGACUAGGGGCCCUUCUCGGGUUACCGAAUUCAGAUAAACUCCGAAUGCCAUGUACUUAUACUCGGGAGUCAGACUGCGAGUGAUAAGAUCCGUAGUCGAAAGGGAAACAGCCCAGACCACCAGUUAAGGUCCCCAAAUAUAUGUUAAGUGGAAAAGGAUGUGGGGUUGCUUAGACAACCAGGAUGUUGGCUUAGAAGCAGCCACCAUUGAAAGAGUGCGUAAUAGCUCACUGGUCGAGUGACCCCGCGCCGAAAAUGUACCGGGGCUAAACAUAUUACCGAAACUGUGGAUGAACCUCUUUAGAGGUUCGUGGUAGGAGAGCGUUCUAAGGGCGGUGAAGUCAGACCGGAAGGACUGGUGGAGCGCUUAGAAGUGAGAAUGCCGGUAUGAGUAGCGAAAGAAGGGUGAGAAUCCCUUCCACCGAAUAUCUAAGGUUUCCUGAGGAAGGCUCGUCCGCUCAGGGUUAGUCGGGACCUAAGCCGAGGCCGAUAGGCGUAGGCGAUGGACAACAGGUAGAGAUUCCUGUACCAGUGCUAAUUGUUUAACCGAUGGGGUGACACAGAAGGAUAGGGAAUCGCACGAAUGGAAAUGUGCGUCCAAGCAGUGAGUGUGAGAAGUAGGCAAAUCCGCUUCUCGCGAAGCAUGAGCUGUGAUGGGGAAGGAAAUUAAGUACGGAAGUUCCUGAUUUCACGCUGUCAAGAAAAGCCUCUAGGAAGAGUAGUACUGCCCGUACCGCAAACCGACACAGGUAGAUGAGGAGAGAAUCCUAAGGUGAGCGAGAGAACUCUCGUUAAGGAACUCGGCAAAAUGACCCCGUAACUUCGGGAGAAGGGGUGCUCUAUUAGGGUGCAAGCCCGAGAGAGCCGCAGUGAAUAGGCCCAGGCGACUGUUUAGCAAAAACACAGGUCUCUGCAAAACCGUAAGGUGACGUAUAGGGGCUGACGCCUGCCCGGUGCUGGAAGGUUAAGAGGAGUGCUUAGCUUCGGCGAAGGUACGAAUUGAAGCCCCAGUAAACGGCGGCCGUAACUAUAACGGUCCUAAGGUAGCGAAAUUCCUUGUCGGGUAAGUUCCGACCCGCACGAAAGGCGCAACGAUCUGGGCACUGUCUCAACGAGAGACUCGGUGAAAUUAUAGUACCUGUGAAGAUGCAGGUUACCCGCGACAGGACGGAAAGACCCCGUGGAGCUUUACUGCAACCUGAUAUGGAAUGUUUGUACCGCUUGUACAGGAUAGGUAGGAGCCGAAGAGACGUGUGCGCUAGCAUACGAGGAGGCAAUGGUGGGAUACUACCCUGGCUGUAUGACCAUUCUAACCCGCCACGCUUAGCGCGUGGGGAGACAGUGUCAGGUGGGCAGUUUGACUGGGGCGGUCGCCUCCUAAAGAGUAACGGAGGCGCCCAAAGGUUCCCUCAGAAUGGAUGGAAAUCAUUCGCAGAGUGUAAAGGCACAAGGGAGCUUGACUGCGAGACUGACAAGUCGAGCAGGGACGAAAGUCGGGCUUAGUGAUCCGGUGGUUCCGCAUGGAAGGGCCAUCGCUCAACGGAUAAAAGCUACCCCGGGGAUAACAGGCUUAUCUCCCCCAAGAGUCCACAUCGACGGGGAGGUUUGGCACCUCGAUGUCGGCUCGUCGCAUCCUGGGGCUGUAGUCGGUCCCAAGGGUUGGGCUGUUCGCCCAUUAAAGCGGCACGCGAGCUGGGUUCAGAACGUCGUGAGACAGUUCGGUCCCUAUCCGUCGCGGGCGCAGGAAAUUUGAGAGGAGCUGUCCUUAGUACGAGAGGACCGGGAUGGACACACCGCUGGUGUACCAGUUGUUCCGCCAGGAGCAUCGCUGGGUAGCUAUGUGUGGCAGGGAUAAACGCUGAAAGCAUCUAAGCGUGAAGCCCCCCUCAAGAUGAGAUUUCCCAUUUCUUCGGAAAGUAAGAUCCCUGAAAGAUGAUCAGGUAGAUAGGUUUGGAGUGGAAGUGUAGCGAUACAUGGAGCGGACAAAUACUAAUCGAUCGAGGACUUAACCAAAA